CCAUAUGUUGCAUUUUAGCCCCUGAAAUCGAUUUUUAAUUCUUUCAAGUCAUUUUUCUUGCAUUUUCAAUCCUUUGACUUUUAAUUGCAUCCAAGUGAACCCCCAAUAUCUUUAAUCUUCAUUUUGUGAUCCGAAUCAACUAUUAGAAUGUUGCAACUUAGUCCUCAUACUUUGGAUUUUCUUCCUUUUUGGUUUUUUUUCGUUUCUUUUCUCUUGAAUUCCAC
rnacentral:lncRNA from 1 species